AUGAAAACACUUUUUUUUUUCUUUUCCCUGAGGCUUUGGUUCCCAGCUGCAUGCUGUAAUAUGAGGCAUAUAGUGAAGUAUACACAGCAUGGUUUCUGUGGAUGGCCUGCGUGUCUUCAGCAGCGGCAGAAUCCUCUGAGGAACUGGCCUGACUCAUCUGCAUCUGUGACAGCAGGCACAGCAUGGAAAUGCCGUUGUUUGGACCAUGGCUGGAGUCUAUAAAACAGAUACCGGCAUCAGGAGAUAAGGGCUUGCUGAGCUGGUACAAAACGGCCCGUGACUGGUCUGGCAUGUGACAGGCAGCCCGACUGAUCUUCAAUAAAGCCGCAUGAUGAACACGUAUCAAUGGAGUACAUAUCAUUUGUUAAUUGAUUUGAGGGUAAUGCUGUUCAGGCUCCCUGUAAUCCUGAUUAGAGGUCCAACCCGGACCCUUUAAAUGCAUAUUGAUAUAUUGAUCGUGUAUGUUGCUCUGAGCUUUCCCAUACGAUGGGGAUCUUUACACCUCACCCUUCAGCUACUAAACAAGCCAAUGGAGAAAUUAUGCUUUUACAUAACAGCUGUUUUCUUUCAGGCUUGGGAUGAUGUCACCCUGUCAUCUCACUGUGGGUGUGUUUUUUUUUUUUGUAUUAUUUGACAGAUUUUGAUGUGGGCCGAUCAUGGGUACGCAUACACAAGAUGUUUAUGACCCGCUCCAGCUAAGCAAAGGUGGAUCUGGGUCAGUAAAACACAUUACUUUGUCACCUACAGAGAAUGUUAUAUCUAAUAUCUAAUAUAAUCUAAUCUAAUGUUGUUAAGAUGUUCACAGUAAUUGACAACUUUGGAUACAUUUUAAAUUCAUAUUAAUAUAAAGUGACUUUAGUUUUUGGUUCAUAAUAGUUUUGAUAGUGGUAUUAUCAUUUUUUGUAGUAAUAUAUGCAACCAACUGGAACAUGCCUCAAUUUUUAAGUUACAUUUUUUAUUUUGAGUUAAUAUACAGUACAGAUUAAUCUUCAUUAUUUAAAUGACAUUUUUAAUUUUUAAUUAAUAAAUGUGAGUAACAUUAAUAUUUUGAAAAACUAUUACAAUUUACAAAAAAUAAAAAAUUUCUUAUAAAAAAAUCCUUUGAAGAUCAGUGUAUUAAAUUUACCUCCAUCUUGACUUUUUAUUUUUGCCCAUGAAAUUCAAUCUUUCUUUCCUUAAAAAAAGAAUCAAAGAUAAUAAAAAUGAUAAUGCAUCAUUCAGUACUACAAAGUUUUGUGUUCAAUUAAAUGUCCUCUAAAGUGAGAAUCUCCCUGUAUUAAGUAAAAAAAAUCUUAGUUUCUUAGUCUGUUUCCAAGGAGCAGCACAGAAUUCAUCAACCUUUAGGUCAUUCGUGCACAAAAGGUCUGUUCCUCUCCAUGUAGAAGGUAUCUGCCAUUUUCACUUUGCUGUGAGACCCACAACCUUUACGCUGAUGGAAGUAUGGCAGUACAUUUCUCUUGAUCGGUCACUUUCAGGUGCAUUUGUAACAGUUGCCAGCCCAGCUUGGCAAUCAGAGCCUGGAAUCAAUGAACUUUAAUAUGAUCAGGAAAGCUAAAUUAUUAGAGUGCAUUAGUCAUACAUUGUAAAAAGCAGUUUGAUAAGGCCAUGAAGCACUGCAUAGAUGCCAAGAAUUGGUAAUGACUCUCUCAUUUACAUUUUAUCAUCCCUCCGGCAGUUGAAAAACAGAGAGAGCAAUUAGUUAAUUUGUUUAAAUAAACUCCUUAGUCUUUGCAAUUAGCAAGUAGCAGAUAAUGGGGAAUAAUUCAUCAGUUAGCGAUUAAUCGUGUCAGUAAUCUCAGUUGUUAGAUCUCAAACUACUCUUCGCAUGAUCUCACAGCGCUUUUUUGUGCUAAUUACAAAAGACAGCUUGGCUUAUAAUACAGAGCAUAUUGUAUGAGCAGGGCAUUAAGGAAUUAGACAUUUCAGUUUUGUUCACAAUUAAUGUCAAAUCAAAGAGUUAAUUACAGCUCUGUGUGAACAUCCCACUCUGAACGAAGUAUAAACUGCACAAAAGUUUUUAUUUCCUAUGUGGGUUACACAUAAAGGCUAUGUUCACUUGGAUAUUUGGUAUGGUGAUGUACAUUUGUCUUUGCUGCCAUUGAGGUUGAGAGAUCUGUACCUGUUUUACGUUCUGUAUGUGUCAAGCAGGCUGAGCAACCUCAGGAUUACAGGAUACUGUAAUUGAAAACAAGUCUAGACCAAAAGAAAGGGCUUUAAAUGUCAAGUCAAGGUCAAGUUUACAAACUCUUGUAUGUGUUGAUAACACAAGUGUAUUACUGGCGGCUGAUGCAGUACAAUGGCCGCAGUAGUGCAGCUUACUGAAAGUGAAAACAAUGUUUUCAAGUGCUGGAACUGUAGGGGAGAAGUUGGGUAAGAUGUGUUGCUCCAUUUUUCUAGCAAACAGCGUGCAUUUUUUGUCUAGAGUUCGACAUUAUUUUAUAGUACUCACCAUGCAAAGCUGCAUGUAAGAAAUCUAUUUAAUACAAGUGCAAUUUAUUUAUUCAUUUAUUUAUUUAUAAAUGGAAGGUCAAAUUUAUUUUGUUAAAGUGACUUAUAAAUAUGGACAACUCCCCA
ensembl:lncRNA